UUUUUGAGAAUGCAGUUAUUGGGCAAAGGUAGUGCUCUCCAGGACAGUGUAUGAACAGGGACAGCUUCUGUCUAUCUGCUCCUGUGUUGGGAGGGACUUGCCAUGAGUGGGCCCCAGGGAAGCACCCAAGACAGUGCUGCUCCUAGGCUUGCUAAGGGUCAGGAGACCAGAAGACAGGUUAAAUUUAAAGAACAUGUUUUCCUGGGGCUGGGGAUUUAGCUCAGCGGCAAAGCACCUGCCUGGCAAGCACAAGGUCGUGAAUUCGGUACCGGAGGAAAAAAAAAAAAAAAAGAACAUGUUUUCCUUAAAGAGUGUCACUGGGGAUUAUUGUACUCUACUAAGAGUUUGAAUAGUAGCUUCCAAAAUAUGUCAACCUCCAAAACCCUGGAAUUUAUAUAUGUUACUCUAUUUGGAGAGGGGCUAGAAAUAAGAUUAGGAUAAGGAUCUUGAUUAUUAGAUGCCAGAUUUUCCAGGUGAGCUCUGAGUCCAAAGACACAGAAAAAGGAAAGGUAUGACUAUCCAAAGAGAGGUAUGAUGUGAAAAUGGAGGUGCAGCUUGAAGUGAUAUAGUUAUGAGCCAAGGAAGCCAGAUGUGGUGGCCCACACUUAAAAUCCCAGCACUCGGGAGACUGAGGUGGAAGGAUCAUUAUGAGUUUGAGGUCAGCCUGGGCUACAAAGUGAGCUCAAGGCCUGCCUGAACUGCGUAGUGAGGCCCUGCCUCAAAAAAAAAAAAAAAAAAUAAAAAUAAGUAGAAAAAAAACCACAGAGAAAAAAAAAAAAAAAAAAAAAAAAAGAGAAAGAUGGAGCCAAGGAAACCAGAGAAUGCUGACAGCCAUCAGAAUCUGGGAGAAACAAAGGGAGAUUUUCCCCUAGAGCCCAGCGGAUAUGUGGCCUUGCAACACUUUAAUUUCAGACUUCUGAUCACUAGAACUAUGGGAUAAUUUCUGGUUUACUAAACUAUCCAGCUUGUGGGAAUUUGUUAUGGAAGCUGUGGAAAAGUUGUACUAUACACAUCCGAAGUUGCUAACCCAGUAUGCAUCUUGCUGUCCUGUGCAUCUUGCCAUGUGGAGAAGAACUUUGUGGAGAAGAGAAAAAUGCCCCCACUAUACAGACAAACAGAGGCUGCUGCCUUUGUCAGAUGUCUGGAUUACUUUUCAGCAUGGACCAUCCUCUAUCAAAUUAAGUUAAAAACUUAAAUCACCUCUCCAGACUUGUAGAGAAUUGUAUCCAGCCUCCACCCAGACUAAAGUCACAGACUUCUCUCGUCCUUCAUAUACAAUGGCAUAGAACUCUUGGAUACUAUAAAGCAUUUUUAAGUUAUUUGCAAUUUCUGAGACAAUGUAAAUGUUAUGCAAAUAAUUGUUAAGUUGUAUCAUUUAGGAAACAAUAACCAGGCAAAUUAUAUGGGUUUAGUACAUACAAAUAGCUUUGAUCUAUAUUAGUUGAAUUGUAAGGAUGCUGAACUUGUGGGUAUAGACAUUCUUCCGGACUUCUGCCAGGCUUUGUUGGGCAACUUCCCUCACUUUCCUGACCUUCUCUGCCGGGGCUCUAAUUUGGUUCCCAUAUUGAAGAGAUACAGCUGGAUCUGGAAUCAGAAGGGGUUGACCCAAUUGUGGGGUGAACAACAGGUACUGGAAACUUCAGCAGAAGCCAGGACAGUUCACCCAAUGAAAGAAGUCUCUGACUGUAGACACAAGACAGACCAAGAUCCACAAGGCUUAACAGCAAAGCUCUGAGGCAAGGCAGUGAGUGGAAAGAGAGGAAACUCUUCCCUAAGGACACGGAACAGACUGACAUGUCUCAGAGUCAGAGGUUCUGGUCUGCCUCACUCCACAGGAAAUCUGUGUCCCUCAGCCUCAGCCUCAGGCAGUGCUCCUGCCUGCUGAGUUGAAGGACCUUGACUGUUUCCUGUCACCUAGGGUGAGACUGAAAGCUUCAGUCCUCACAUAGCUAGUACAGUACUUGGUCACUUCCUUGGACUGGGCAGAAGGUUUCCAGCUUGCCCCAGUCUGUUCAUUUUGCUUCUAUGUAGAAUCUGCCAUGCCCGGGCACACCUUUGUUUUCUGGGAGUUCUUUUGUUUCCAAUCAUAUGGUUGAGUUGAAGAGAGACAAAUAUUCAGUUCUGACUUAGGACAAUCUGAUGGUGGGAGACUUUAUAAACUUGUAGAUAUUUAGACAACACCUGAUAAUGUUUCCUAGCAAAUGUCAAGUGCCUUUCAUUGCCUUCAUCCACACAGCUUCACAAUCAUUUUUGCUGUACUUUUCUUUACAUAUAUGUAUAAUAGAUUCUACCUGUGGAAAUGCUGAAUUUUCCUCUCCACAUUUAGCCUAGUAAGUUAACAUUAGUCACAAUUUUUUUUUGAGACAGGAUCUCACUGUGUAGUCCAAGCUGGCCUUGAACUUACUAUGUAGCCCAGGCUGGCCUUUAACUUGCAAUCUUCCCGCCUUAGCCUCCUGAGUCUGGGAUUACAGGCAUAUGCCACCAUGCCUGACUAGUCAUAAUAUCUUAUUUUAUUUUUUAUUCUUAUUUUUUUAGUCAUAAUAUUUUAAAUCUAAUGUAUUAAGUUAUUUCUCACUGUAUUUACUGUGAUUAUGUUUGCUUGGCACUAGUUUAAGUGCAUAAUUUACUAAUUUUCUUAAACUAGUAAUUCAAAUUUUACAUAUAAAUUAUAAAACCUAGGGGCUGGGGAUUUAGCUCAGCGGCAAAAGCACCUGCCUGGCAAGUGCAAGGUCAUGAGUUCGGUUCCCGGUACCGGAGAAAAAAAAACAAAAAAAAAAAAAAAAAAAAAAAACCUAACACAAAUUUCUAAAAUUUCCAAAUUAUGAAGACAAUCAGUCCUAUUUCUCAAAUGACACAUAGUAAAUGACCAAAAAUAUUUGUUAAAUUGAUAAAAUGAAGGAAAUGAAAGCAUCAGAUGAUUAUCCACUCGGCCACUAAACUGCUUUCUGGCUUAGGGUUGAUCAGGUCACUUUGAGCCCCCCUUAUUUCUCUCACAAAAUAUUGUAAGGAUUGAGGGCUAUAAAUAUUCAAAUAUGCUUUGAAAACAUUGAGUUGCAGAUACAAGUGGUGCAUUUUGUGUAUUUUACUUGAGUUAAAAACUGCCUUUAACAACCACAUACUGCCUUCCUUUCUGCCUAUGAAAUUCACAUUUGAUUCUAUGCACUGACCAUUGUGACAACGCUGGUGUGAGGAAUUGUGACAAAUGGCCUGGGUCUAUGGGCUCUAGAGCUCAGUGAGAAACAACUGGUCAGGACGGGAAGAUGCAAUUCUGUUGAACAAGGAUUCCCCUGGUUGUAUACUUAAAAGUAGCUAGAAAAGAUUUGGGAUGGUUUUAUUACAUAAAAUGACCAAUAUUUAAGGGACUGGAUAUUGUAAUUACACUGAUUUGAGCACUAGCCAAUGUACACAUGCAUCAAAACUUCAUGCUUUGUUCCAGACGAAUGCAUCACUGUUAUGUGUCCACCAUAACAAAUAAUUAAAACAUUCUUUAAAAUUUGCUUUCUGGCUUCAGAACCCUCCCUUUUUGUUCCCUUUGGAGGAUCUUUUGCUGGUCUGGAUGGAAAAGAUGGAGCACAUUCUCUCUUUUCUGCCUGUAAACAGCAACCUGGGAAGCAAUCCCCGAAGCUCACAUCUUUCCUGUCAGCUGCACACACCAUUCCUGUGUUUCUUAUAAUGGACAAGCUAUGAUGGAAUGCUGAAAAGCCCCUCCAGGGCACG
rnacentral:lncRNA from 1 species